AAUCAACGCUGGCGGCGUGCCUAACACAUGCAAGUCGAACGAGAAGGGGACUUCGGUCCCUGAGUACAGUGGCGCACGGGUGAGUAACACGUGACUUAUCUACCCUCGAGUGGGGAAUAACUUCGGGAAACCGAGGCUAAUACCGCAUAAUACCCACGGGUCAAAGGAGCAAUUCGCUUGAGGAGGAGGUCGCGGCCGAUUAGUUAGUUGGCGGGGUAAUGGCCCCACCAAGACGGUGAUCGGUAUCCGGCCUGAGAGGGCGCGCGGACACACUGGAACUGAAACACGGUCCAGACUCCUACGGGAGGCAGCAGUGGGGAAUUUUGCGCAAUGGGGGAAACCCUGACGCAGCAACGCCGCGUGGAGGAUGAAGUCUCUUGGGACGUAAACUCCUUUCGAUCGGGACGAUUAUGACGGUACCGGAAGAAGAAGCCCCGGCUAACUUCGUG
rnacentral:rRNA from 1 species